GAGGUUCGUUUCUCCGUUAGUGACUGUGACAUGCGUGUUUCCUCCUUUCGUUUUCACUUUCAUCUUCAGUUUCUUAAACAGAUUACGUCUUGUGAGGCGACACGUUAAAGAGCUUGAGAAAACAUCAGGAUCUGCCACAUCCCUGUUAUGUACUAGUGCCGUUCUCGGGCUUCCAGUUGCCUCCCUCCUCUCUUUUCCAUAUGAAGAUACAGCAAGAAGGCACCUGCCUGUUAGCCAAGGAGCCACGCCCUGCCCAGGACUGUCUAAGUUAGCAUUUAUGUCUUCCUCUGUGACUGCAUGGUGGCCUCACAGGCCGGAAUGCCCAGACUGCACCUGCACAGGAAUGGGGCAACGCCUGUUCUGAGACAUGGCUUCAUCCUGCAGACCAUGCUGGCCUUGAAUUUACAGUGAUCUGUGGGUCGACCUAGGGCUGGGAUUAAGGUGUGCACCACCACGUCUCUUCUUCUUCUUCUUCUUCUUCUUCUUCUUCUUCUUCUUCUUCUUCUUCUUCUUCUUCUUCUUCUUCUUCUUCUGCUUCUUCUUCUGCUUCUUCUUCUGCUUCUUCUUCUGCUUCUUCUUCUUCUUCUUCUUCUUCUUCUUCUUCUUCUUCUUCUUCUUCUUCUUCUUCUUCUUCUUCUUCUGUUUUGAGAUAGUCCAGGCUAGUCUUGAACUCAUCUCCUGCUUCAGCCUUCUGAGUGCUGGGAUUACAGUAAAAAACCACUAGCUGUCUUUGCAGUCAGUGCUCUUAACCCCUGAGCCAUCUCUCCAGCCCCUGAGUCAUCUCUGCAGUCCCCUGUCUGAUGAAUCUUGACUUGCUUCUCAGAUUACUUCUUAACAUAU